GGCGACAUAGCCAAGUGGUAAGGCGCGGGUCUGCAACACCCUUAUCCCCAGUUCAAAUCUGGGUGUCGCCUCCA
rnacentral:tRNA from 1 species